GACAGAGGCCUCGAGCGUUAGGCGGAAUCACUGGGCUUAAAGCGUGUGUAGGCGGAUCGUUAAGUGUCUUGUGAAAUCCCACGGCUCACCCGUGGAACUGCUGGGCAUACUGGCGAUCUUGGGCCAACUAGGGGCAGCCGGAACGAGCAGUGUAGCGGUGAAAUGCGUAGAUAUUGCUCGGAAGGCCAGAGCCGAAGGGGCCCUACUGGUGCGCAACUGACACUGAGGCACGAAAGCGUGGGGAGCAAACAGG
rnacentral:rRNA from 1 species